GACGAACGCUGGCGGCGUGCCUAAUACAUGCAAGUCGAGCGCAGGAAACUGACGGAACUCUUCGGAGGGAAGGCAGUGGAAUGAGCGGCGGACGGGUGAGUAACACGUAAGGAACCUGCCUCAAGGAUUGGGAUAACUCCGAGAAAUCGGAGCUAAUACCGGAUAGUUCAACGGACCGCAUGGUCCGCUGAUGAAAGGCGCUCCGGCGUCACCUUGAGAUGGCCUUGCGGUGCAUUAGCUAGUUGGUGGGGUAACGGCCCACCAAGGCGACGAUGCAUAGCCGACCUGAGAGGGUGAUCGGCCACACUGGGACUGAGACACGGCCCAGACUCCUACGGGAGGCAGCAGUAGGGAAUCUUCCACAAUGGACGAAAGUCUGAUGGAGCAACGCCGCGUGAGUGAUGAAGGUUUUCGGAUCGUAAAACUCUGUUGUAAGGGAAGAACACGCACGAGAGGGAAUGCUCGUACCCUGACGGUACCUUACGAGAAAGCCACGGCUAACUACGUGCCAGCCGCCGCAGUAAAAC
rnacentral:rRNA from 1 species